rnacentral:rRNA from 1 species
AUUGAACGCUGGCGGAAUGCUUUACACAUGCAAGUCGAACGGUAGAGGGGGCAACCCCUCGAGAGUGGCGAACGGGUGAGUAAUAUAUCGGAACGUGCCCAGUCGUGGGGGAUAACGUAGCGAAAGUUACGCUAAUACCGCAUACGAUCUAAGGAUGAAAGCGGGGGAUCGCAAGACCUCGCGCGAUUGGAGCGGCCGAUAUCAGAUUAGGUAGUUGGUGGGGUAAAGGCUCACCAAGCCAACGAUCUGUAGCUGGUCUGAGAGGACGACCAGACACACUAGAACUGAGACACGGUCCAGACUCCUACGGGAGGCAGCAGUGGGGAAUUUUGGACAAUGGACGCAAGUCUGAUCCAGCCAUUCCGCGUGCAGGAUGAAGGCCCUCGGGUUGUAAACUGCUUUUGUACGGAACGAAAAGGUCUCUCUUAAUACGGGGGACUCAUGACGGUACCGUAAGAAUAAGCACCGGCUAACUACGUGCCAGCCGCCGCCGUAA